rnacentral:rRNA from 1 species
UACGGGAGGCAGCAGUGGGGAAUAUUGCACAAUGGGCGCAAGCCUGAUGCAGCCAUGCCGCGUGUAUGAAGAAGGCCUUCGGGUUGUAAAGUACUUUCAGUCGUGAGGAAGGUGUUAAGGUUAAUAACCUUAGCAAUUGACGUUAGCGACAGAAGAAGCACCGGCUAACUCCGUGCCAGCAGCCGCGGUAAUACGGAGGGUGCGAGCGUUAAUCGGAAUUACUGGGCGUAAAGGGCACGCAGGCGGUUAAUUAAGUUGGAUGUGAAAUCCCCGGGCUUAACCUGGGAAUGGCAUUCAAGACUGGUUAGCUAGAGUCUUGUAGAGGGGGUAGAAUUCCAUGUGUAGCGGUGAAAUGCGUAGAGAUGUGGAGGAAUACCGGUGGCGAAGGCGGCCCCUGGGACAAAGACUGACGCUCAUGUGCGAAAGCGUGGGGAGCAAACAGGAUUAGAUACCCUCGGAAGGAAUCCAAGGCACAACAAGGGGAAUAAGG